rnacentral:lncRNA from 1 species
GAAUAAUUAGUAGGGUUAAGACCCAGCCUCAUGAUUAAUGUCCUGAUGUGUAGUAUGAGUUUUACUGUUGAAAGAACAGACCCUUGCAAUGAUAGUAGGGGUCGUGAUGGGUUAUUACAUGGGGAGAAUAAGUAGGUAUCUAAUACUCUUAACGGGCGCCAUUUAUUAUGAGUAGGGUAGAAUGGAAUAUCAACCUGAUGGCCAAUUUGACUUGUUUUAGUGAGGGGUAUUCAAAGUAUGAAAUGGCCUUGCUGCUUAUUGAUAUGUGACCAUUUAAGACAAUACUGGAUGUUAGUUGAGGUUUUUGUAGUGAACUCUCGUGGUCUAAGAAAGCCAUAAUACACCAGAUACAUGGUGACUUGAUUAGUUUGAGGUUCGAAGGGGCCAGAGUCCUAUAGGUCUGAUAGGGAUUGGAAUUAUUGAUUGUGGAUAGGUAAUCUUUUUUGUGGUUGGGCAGUGCUGGAUUUUUGAAUGCCUCUCAGGAUGGUUUUAAUUUGGUAGGAUAAUAACUAACUAGGGUUGUUGGGCAUUUAGUAUGUGAUUCUGUAUGCCGGUCAUAUAUAAUUGGAUGGUAUUGGAUCACUUCUUCUGGUUUUCCUGAUGGUGGCAUUAAGCUAGAUGAAGUGUGAGAUAAAGUAUAGUAUACAUAAUAGUCAAAAUAUGAUUUUAAUUUUCUACAGGAUUCUUGCAAUUCCAUUGUUCCAAACAAAAGCAUUUAGUUCAUUCACAAGUUUCUAUCACAGCUAAUCUUUCCUUUGCUUAAUGCUUACUGGUGUUUGCUAAUCAAUCAAAAUCCGUUUGGAAUACUGCCAGAUUGUUGAGAACAGUACAGAUUCAGAAACUGCAUGUCUCCUGCUCCUGGAGUAGACAUAUAUUCUCUAAAAACUCUCCCGUGGAUUAAAUAUAUUGGCAGAUGUUUCACAAAGUGUUCUGUUCUAAAAUGCAGUCCAAAGUACUAAAAGUAGGGAAAUCAUCAUGAAAACCAAUUUUGUACCACUUUUUAGACCAAAAACAUUUGAUAAAUCCCCUCUAAUAUAUCUGCAGCAAUGUUGCCUAGUAAAAUGGUAACCAUUUUCAAAUGGUUUCAAUCUUUACAAUAAGUGCAACUCACUGGUUUAUAUCACGUUUGAAUGUUACGUAGACAACUUUAGCUGCGCCAAUGGGAAAAUUCUUGAGAUUUCUUAGCAAUCUGACACAAAUCUUAAAACAAGUUGCAAAGUCUUGGGGGUACAUUCAGAUCACAUCAUGUACCUAUUUUAAGGUAUGUAGAUAGUCAAGACAUUUCAAAAAAAUUCAGAGAUGCUUCAGUAUAGAGCCAAGUCACAUAUUUUCAAAAAGUAUUUUUUGGUUUUGUCAAUUUGGAUUUAUCUGUAAUUUGACUGUAAUUUGUCUAUAUUGUUGAAAUAUAGACAAAAGCUCAGAGCUGAGAAUCUUACAAGUUGCAGAACUUUUUUGAAAAACUGGAGAAUAGAAAACAUGUUACAAUGAACAAAAAAAAGUAUAAUCGCUAUCAAAUCAAUGUUCAAUCAAGAGCUGUCUAUCAAAGAAGGAAAGAAAAGGAAAAUAAUAAAGGACAAUUAUCAAAGAAAAUAAUCUAGCUUUCAAAGUCCCCAGAACGCAAACAUCCUGAAACUGUCUGAGACUUUUAACCUCUUUGUGAUAUGUUUUUUUUUAUUGUCAUAAUGCACAUAUAAGACCAAAUUACCUUUGUUACAAAGGUAUGGGAUCUUCAAAAAGCUCUGGCCACUAAGGGGUUAAACUUUCUGCACAAUAUUGC